AAUCAACGCUGGCGGCGUGCCUCAGACAUGCAAGUCGAACGCGAAAUUCCGAGCAAUCGGGAAAGUAGAGUGGCGCACGGGUGAGUAACACGUAGGUAAUCUACCUUUGGAUGGGGAAUAACAACCGGAAACGGUUGCUAAUACCGCAUAAUGCAGCGGCACCUAAUGGUGACAGUUGUUAAAGCGGGGGAUCGAAAGACCUCGCGUCUAAAGAGGAGCCUGCGGCGGAUUAGCUAGNGGUAAGGUAAUGGCUUACCAAGGCUACGAUCCGUAACCGGCCUGAGAGGGCGGUCGGUCACACUGACACUGACAUACGGGUCAGACUCCUACGGGAGGCAGCAGUCGGGAAUUUUGGGCAAUGGGCGAAAGCCUGACCCAGCAACGCCGCGUGAAGGAUGAAAUCCCUCGGGAUGUAAACUUCGCAAGAAC
rnacentral:rRNA from 1 species